UACGGAGGUCUCAAGCGUUGUUCGGAUUCAUUGGGCGUAAAGGGUGCGUAGGUGGCGCCGUAAGUCGGGUGUGAAAUUUCGGAGCUUAACUCCGAAACUGCAUUCGAUACUGCGGUGCUUGAGGACUGGAGAGGAGACUGGAAUUCAUGGUGUAGCAGUGAAAUGCGUAGAGAUCAUGAGGAAGACCAGUGGCGAAGGCGGGGCUCUGGACAGUUACUGACACUGAGGCACGAAGGCCAGGGGAGCAAACGGG
rnacentral:rRNA from 1 species